UACAUAACCUGCUGUAUAAAGCUCCGGUCUUUCUUUUUAUAAAUCAUUUCAAUAGUCUGCUUCAGAGAAUGGCUGCAUUCAGAAAGUUCCAUUAUUAUAGAGUAAAUGAUAUUGUACAAAUAUGUAAAGGCAAUUAAAGGUGCUCUGAGCGAUGUUGGGUGACGUCACUUCUUGUUGACGUUCGUUCGCCCCUCCCUCCU